CUUAAAUAGGGAAUACAGUACUUUACAAAUGAAAUAACAAGUUUUCUGUUUUAUUUUAUUUUUAUAAAAAAUAGGCACCUUUUGUUCACUAGAAAGUUUGUGAGAAGUGCCCAGUGCCCUCUUUGCCCUCUGUUCAAGAAUAAACAGAGGGGUGACACACAAUCUUUUCUAGAUUUCACCACUUCUGUGCAAGGCAUGGCAUAACUGGCUUGGAAGAGUUUUUUUCUCCCCAUAAAACACGUUCUUUUGGCAAUAAGAAAUUUAAAUGUAAGUAAUAAAGACUAACUUGUCAAAGCAGAACACUGUAUACAGUGGAAAAGAAGUGAAAAUGGGUAGAACUUACCAUGACAAAGUGU
rnacentral:lncRNA from 1 species